GCCAUGCAGUCGAUGGGAUACCUAAAUUUCCCAUGGCGAACUGCUCAGUAACACAUGAUCAACUUGCCCUAUAGAGAGAAAUAACCUCGGGAAACUGAGGAUAAUUUUUCAUAGUUGAAUUGGCUUGGAAAAGUUUUUCAAUAAAAAGGAUAAAGAAAAUGGUCUUUAUUCGCUAUAGGAUAGGAUCGUGUUCGAUUAUGGUAGUUGGUGAGGUAAAGGCUCACCAAGCCGAUAAUCGAUAGGGGCCGUGAGAGCGGGAGCCCCGAGAUGGGUACUGAGACAACGACCCAGGCCUUACGAGGCGCAGCAGGCGCGAAACCUCCGCAAUACACGAAAGUGUGAUGGGGUUACCCAAAGUGUUCAUUAUUGAACUGUGGUAGGUGAGUAAUGUUCCCUACUAGAAAGGAGAGGGCAAGGCUGGUGCCAGCCGCCGCGGUAAAACCAGCUCUUCAAGUGGUCGGGAUAAUUAUUGGGCUUAAAGUGUCCGUAGCCGGUUUAGCAAGUUCCUGGUAAAAUCGGGUAGCUUAACUAUCUAUAUGCUAGGAAUACUGCUAUACUAGAGGGCGGGAGAGGUCUGAGGUACUACAGGGGUAGGGGUGAAAUCUUAUAAUCCUUGUAGGACCACCAGUGGCGAAGGCGUCAGACUGGAACGCGCCUGACGGUGAGGGACGAAAGCCAGGGGAGCGAACCGGAUUAGAUACCCGGGUAGUCCUGGCUGUAAACGAUGCAUACUAGUGAUGGCACGGCCAUGAGCCGUGUCAGUGCCGUAGGGAAACCGUUAAGUGUGCCGCCUGGGAAGUACGGUCGCAAGGCUAAAACUUAA
rnacentral:rRNA from 1 species